AUUACAUUUUCAUGUAUCAUCGGACUUUAUCUUGAGCUGAUAAAAAUCAACCAGAUAUCAUAAAGUCUCUGAACUAUUUAUUAGCUGCGGAUUGCCCAAACAUAAUAAUUAUUAUUUAUUUUAUAUUAUGUGUAAGGAUAUUCCCGCAAUUUGAUAUCUUUGCUUCAAUAAAUUGAAACUAGCAAAUUCGCUUUUAGGGACAAAAUGAUUAAUCCCCGUCA
rnacentral:ncRNA from 1 species